UCAGUUAAAGAGAGUCCUUUCUUUCCUUAUUUUUAUUGCUAUAAUUAAUUAAUAUACUAAUACUAUUAAUUACAUUCCCUCCAAGGAGCUCAAGGUGGUUUCUAUCUUCUCCUCCUCACCCACAGCGAGCUGCAUUUCUGAGUGAGGGAUUUGAACCCUGGUCUCUCCCCAGGUCACAGCCAGAUCCUUGAUCCACAGUGGUUCUCGUCUUUAUAAAAAGCCUCCACCUAAAGGAGCAAUGGGUUUGUUGCCUGGGAUCCUGUAAGGCAGGGAAGUGAUUUUGCCGCAAUGGACCCGUGUGUGAAUCCAGUCCCAGCAAAACAUCUUUGGGUGUCAUUGCAAAGCCCCCUAGACUCUCCCACUCGGUCUGAGUUAAUUCCAUAACAAUCCGAAGUAACAAUCUGGGUGACAAUCUGUCCACAAGCAGCAGGACUGAGAGCCCUCCGUGAACUCAUUCUCUCUCUCUCUCUGCCCCACUUUUAGCAAAUACAGAUCUUUGGGAAUAUCCAGUACCUCCUUCAAGAUCACCCUAGUCGUGUGCCUAACAAAUAAGCAGAUCACUGUGUUAUGGGGUUUGGGUUUGGGGCAGCUGCUACAAGGAAGGUGCACAGUCAGAUGUGAAACACGCCAAUUCCCUCUUGAGCUGAAGGGAGCCUGAAUUUGACUUACCCCAACCUGAAUGAGCAAGGGACACAGGUGGCGCUGUGGGUUAAACCACUGAGCCUCUUGGGCUUGCCGAUCAGAAGGUUGGCGGUUCAAAUUCCUGCGACGGGGUGAGCUCCUGUUGCUCGAAAGCACGUCAAAGUGCAAGUAGAUAAAUAGGUCCCACUCCUGUGGGAAGGUAAACGGCGUUUCCGUGCGCUGCUCUGGUUCGACCAGAAGCGGCUUAGUCAUGCUGGCCACAUGAUCCGGAAGCUGUACGCCGGCUCCCUCGGCCAAUAAAGGGAAGGGCAACCUUUCUAAACUCUUCACUUUCUCCAUGCCAUCUCUUCCUCCCCACAGUGAGCCUGACCCACGCCUACCCCAAGCUGGCCCCCAACCGACCCCCCAGGUGGCUCCUCUCCCCACCGCUCCUGCUCUCCAUCAUCCUCAAUGUCCUCUUCACCCUCACCGUCCAGGUCUUCGCCUUCCUGUAUGUGAAGCAGCAGCCCUGGUACUCUGUCCUGCGCAGCCACAGGGGGUGCCCUACUGCAGACCACCCUGUGUCCCUGGGCAACGGGAUGGCCAGCAACGCCACAGCCCCGGAGCACUCCAUCCUGAGCUAUGAGGACACCACCCUCUGGCCACUGGUCACCGUCAACUGCAUCAUCGCAGCCUUUGUCUUCUCCAAGUGGAAACCCUUCCGGAAGCCCAUCUACACCAACUAUAUCUUCUCUGGCCUGCUGUGUGUCCAGCUCAGAGUUUCCCUUUUCCUUUUC